UAACUGAGUAUAAGCGGUUAGUGUGUAUUACACAUGGGACAUUGCUCUACAG
rfam:Acinetobacter haemolyticus CIP 64.3 genomic scaffold acLrj-supercont1.12, whole genome shotgun sequence.